UACGUAGGGGGCGAGCGUUGUCCGGAUUUAUUGGGCGUAAAGAGCUCGUAGGCGGCUCAGUAAGUCAGGUGUGAAAACUCCAGGCUCAACCUGGAGACGCCACCUGAUACUGCUGUGGCUAGAGUCCGGUAGGGGAGCAUGGAAUUCCUGGUGUAGCGGUGAAAUGCGCAGAUAUCAGGAAGAACACCAAUGGCGAAGGCAGCUCUCUGGGACGGUACUGGACGCUGAGACGCGAAAGCGUGGGGAGCGAACAGG
rnacentral:rRNA from 1 species